CAGCCGCCGCGGUAAUACGGAGGGGGCUAGCGUUGUUCGGAAUUACUGGGCGUAAAGCGCACGUAGGCGGCUUGGUAAGUUAGAGGUGAAAGCCUGGAGCUCAACUCCAGAAUUGCCUUUAAGACUGCCGAGCUAGCAGGUGAGAGAGGUAAGUGGAAUUCCGAGUGUAGAGGUGAAAUUCGUAGAUAUUCGGAAGAACACCAGUGGCGAAGGCGGCUUACUGGCUCAUACUGGACGCUGAGGUACGAAAGCGUGGGGAGCAAACAGGAUUAGAUACCCCGGUAGUCCCUGUCUCUUAUAC
rnacentral:rRNA from 1 species